rnacentral:sRNA from 1 species
GAAGGAGUGAAGCAUUGCAUCAGGCCUAACUUAAUAACCCAAGAAUCUCUCUGUGCCUACUUGGUAAUUUCUUUCUUUCAGUGUAACAGAUGACAUUAAAGACAGAGAGGACUUUGUGACAUCAGAGCUUACAAGCCUUUGCUUGCUGUUGCACCAACGGAGCCCCAGGAGUGGCCUCCGUGGAUCAAUCAAAAUUAUUGUUUUCUAAUUAGUGGGCUAUAUUAUGACUACAAGAAGAAUCGAGUGAACCAUGAUUCCCAGCCAAUCAGCCUACGUCAACCAAAAAGACUUUUGCAAAAAGCUAUAUAGAUUUUAUGUAAAUUUGGUAUUUCCGAGCACCAAACUUUUAGCACUGACAUCUGCCUGAGAAGAAACUUCAUUUACAGCAGUGGCAGAGAUGAAGUUCACUGUGAACUACUUUUGAAGACCAUAUGCUUUAACAAGCUGAGGAAGAGGGGAAAAGAAGCUCUUUAAAAACAGCUCUUUCUUGGUCUCACUGUGGAUGAUGCUGCGUGACAACAUUGUGACAUCAUAGCUUACGAGCCUUUGCUCGCUGUUGCACCAACGGAGCCCCAGGGAGUGUAACAGCACCUUGGAAGUCUAUGGUGCUUCCCUUCCCUGGAAUGUAAGGCAUUUCACAGGCAUUUUCUCUCUAAACCUCACAACAUCUCUCUAAGCCACUGACCAGAUGAAGAGAUGAGGAGCUUCGGAAUUACAGAAGAAAAUACAGAAGACACAAGCUGCUUUGCAUCUGAAUGACAAGAACUGUAGGAUGGACGCCAAAUGAGUUUUUACAAACCUGGACUUUCUUUUAAUGAACCAGACUAUGAGUACUUCUUAAAGACUCCAGGAGACAGCACCAACACCUCUGCCCACUUAUAAACUUAGGCAUAUGGAACCCGAGACAUUUCUGCUCCUUCUCUCCAUGGCUGGCCCAACUGCACACAUUUUCUACUGAAUGUGCAUCAGGGUUGCUUCCAAUUGAGUCCCUGCAUUUGGAAACCAUCUUUCUUGUCCAGAAAAGUACUUUUACAAACUGGCUCACUGCUAGUACAUGUCUCUUUGAAUUACCAUUUCAUUGUUUAAGAGCAGGUCCCCUCUAAGCAUGAGAGGGGGAGUUCUUUAUUCUUUUGCUAAAUUGGUCAGCCAAAGAACAGCUUUUGGUGAAUAAAAGAUAUUCUCAUUUUAGCAAAUGAAGGGAAGUUCUAUUCCCUGCCGUCCAAUGCAAAAUGUUGUUAUUCCUUAAAAAUGUUCUAAGUCCUGGAAACCGUUCAGAACACACCACAGAACCCAGUUCCUCCCCACAUUCAAAAUGUUUACAUUCUAAAAAUGACAAGAGAGGGAAGGUUGGGAAGGUAGCUAGAUCCGGAGCAGAUGGGUGCAUAUGCCCUCUCUCCUCACCAACUGCGGUCCUAUGGAUGGCUCAACAGUUAAUGUAGAUUUCUCUUCACGGAGUUUUAUAAGUAACUCUGCUGAGCACAGCCAAAUGACUUGAAAUGUGAGGAUGCACCGCCUCUUUGCUGUGCCCUGCUGCUCAAGUGUUCUCAGCUUUGACAAUUUAUCGUGCUGGAAAAUGUCUUCAGAAUGUCAGUCACUUUAGCUCCAUGCUUGCCAUUUGCAUGUGGCACACCUGCUGCUAUGGUGGCUCGUGCUCUAUUGUUAUUUUCCGUGGGGGCGGGGAAGGUAAAAUGUUCCAUUUGCAGACUUGGAGUUUAGUUCCAGCGAAGUUUAGAAGAAGUUUCUCGGAGUCCAGCUGUUCCUCCGAUAUCAAUGUGGCAUACGGAUGAGCACUGGCUGGGUAUCUGGAGAAAAAAGGUGGAAACAGAAGUCCUGUCCUUAAGGGAUUAGCGGUACAGAGGCAAACAUCAUCACAUCAACUCACCAAGAAGUAAGGCGGAGCUGUCCAUUUAACCCCAAAUAAUUAAAAAGACAGGUUAAUACUGGAAAACAAGAACAAGAAGGAAAACCAUAAACUGUGCCCUGUAUCCCUCUUUACCCUUUGUCGUUCAGUGAGCACACAAUAUUUUGUUUCAAUGAGUAUGCAGUUACUUGUUUAAUUAAAAAUAAUAAAAUAAUUUUAUGUAACAUUGUGUUGGCGGUAACCAGCUGUAAUAAACUGUCCGUGUUCAAAGUAGAUGAAUGAAUAAAGCAUUUGUUACUUGACAGGAGGGAAUCCAGAGGACAGUGUUUCCCUCCCUGAGGUCAUUCAGCUGUAUGCUAUGCGUCUCUGCAGCACCCUGAGGUGCUCACGAGGCAAAAUGGGAAAAGGAAAAGUUAUUUCUAACCUCGGGUGUUUUUCAUGCCUUUCAAAGUCUUCUAAUAUCAGGAAAGGUGAAACAUGUACUUUUGAUCCAGCCUCAACAGUUAUUACCAACCUGGCUUAUUCUUUCCCUAUGAUUUUGUUUUGAACUAGGAUCUUCAAGCGCACAUCAUGUUUGGUAGUCUUUAAGCCAGCUGUUUUAUCAUCAAAGUAAAGCCACAAGACUUUUAUCACAUGUCAAAUGCUAGCAGCUUUGUAGACUUUCUCAUGAAGAACUAUGUGCUCAAUUUUCCUUAACCAGCUAAAUGAAAAUAUUUCAGUCUAUGAUAGAGUGAAUAAAAAUGGUCCACAUAGGGUCAUAUGUUUGAGUGCUUUGUCCCUAAGUUAGCUUGGGAAGGAAUAGAGAUCCGGUCUUGUUGGAGGAGGUGUGUUAUGCUUUGAGGUUCCAAUGCCCAUGUAUAUCCCCACCUCCCUGUCUCCCUUUCCCUGUCUCUGUCUGCUUCCUGUUGUGGAUCAGGAUGUGAGCUCUCAGUUACUCCAGCAGUACUAUGCAUGCAUCCCGCUGUGCUUCCUGCCAAGAUGAUGAGGGGCUCAUCCUCUGAAAACAAUAAGCAAGCACCCAACUAAAUGUUUCUUUUUAAAACUAAGUUUCUUUACAUAUUGUGUCUUAUCAUAGCAAUAGGACAGUAACUAAGACACAGUUCGUGCAAUAUUUUUGUUUGUUAUAUUUCUUGAAACAUCUUUUAACCUAUGAAAAUCCCUUCUCAUUCAUAAUUGUUGAAGAAACUAGUUUUUAUUUUUUGAACGAAUUCAGAUGCCUUUGCACUGAAGAAGCAGGCCUAUCUCUAGAAAGUAAACAGUCAGAAUCUACGUGAGAUCAUGACUAUUAGCUUCUCAGUUUGUGACCACUAACCAGCUGACUUUAUUAAUAUAAACUUUCUUUGAUGGCACUCUGACCACUUUUUUUACAAUUUAUAUUAAACCUGAAAAUAGGAGAUUAAAUGUAAAUAAUGUAAAUGACAAUUAAAAAAUCUGUAUUUCUACAUUGUGUACAAGUCCAUUAUGACCUAUAUAUGACCUCAACAUGUCACUGCCCUCUGCCUCAAUGGCUUGUCAUGACGCUGUCCCCAGGACCCAUCUGUAUGUGUUAAAGAACUGUUGUACAAUAAAAAAAAAUAAUAAAAAAAAGAACUCUUGACACCAAAGUUUUUUUCAGUGUCGUAAAUUUCUUUGUGGUAAGUGUAUAAUUAUGAUGUAAACAUAGAAG